rnacentral:rRNA from 1 species
AGAGUUUGAUCAUGGCUCAGAUUGAACGCUGGCGGCAGGCCUAACACAUGCAAGUCGAGCGGUAGCACAGAGAGCUUGCUCUCGGGUGACGAGCGGCGGACGGGUGAGUAAUGUCUGGGAAACUGCCUGAUGGAGGGGAUAACUACUGGAAACGGUAGCUAAUACCGCAUAACGUCGCAAGACCAAAGUGGGGGACCUUCGGGCCUCAUGCCAUCAGAUGUGCCCAGAUGGGAUUAGCUAGUAGGUGGGGUAACGGCUCACCUAGGCGACGAUCCCUAGCUGGUCUGAGAGGAUGACCAGCCACACUGGAACUGAGACACGGUUCAGACUCCUACGGGAGGCAGCAGUGGGGAAUAUUGCACAAUGGGCGCAAGCCUGAUGCAGCCAUGCCGCGUGUGUGAAGAAGGCCUUCGGGUUGUAAAGCACUUUCAGCGGGGAGGAAGGCGUUAAGGUUAAUAACCUUGGCGAUUGACGUUACCCGCAGAAGAAGCACCGGCUAACUCCGUGCCAGCAGCCGCGGUAAUACGGAGGGUGCAAGCGUUAAUCGGAAUUACUGGGCGUAAAGCGCACGCAGGCGGUCUGUCAAGUCGGAUGUGAAAUCCCCGGGCUCAACCUGGGAACUGCAUUCGAAACUGGCAGGCUAGAGUCUUGUAGAGGGGGGUAGAAUUCCAGGUGUAGCGGUGAAAUGCGUAGAGAUCUGGAGGAAUACCGGUGGCGAAGGCGGCCCCCUGGACAAAGACUGACGCUCAGGUGCGAAAGCGUGGGGAGCAAACAGGAUUAGAUACCCUGGUAGUCCACGCCGUAAACGAUGUCGAUUUGGAGGUUGUGCCCUUGAGGCGUGGCUUCCGGAGCUAACGCGUUAAAUCGACCGCCUGGGGAGUACGGCCGCAAGGUUAAAACUCAAAUGAAUUGACGGGGGCCCGCACAAGCGGUGGAGCAUGUGGUUUAAUUCGAUGCAACGCGAAGAACCUUACCUGGUCUUGACAUCCACAGAACUUUCCAGAGAUGGAUUGGUGCCUUCGGGAACUGUGAGACAGGUGCUGCAUGGCUGUCGUCAGCUCGUGUUGUGAAAUGUUGGGUUAAGUCCCGCAACGAGCGCAACCCUUAUCCUUUGUUGCCAGCGGUUAGGCCGGGAACUCAAAGGAGACUGCCAGUGAUAAACUGGAGGAAGGUGGGGAUGACGUCAAGUCAUCAUGGCCCUUACGACCAGGGCUACACACGUGCUACAAUGGCAUAUACAAAGAGAAGCGACCUCGCGAGAGCAAGCGGACCUCAUAAAGUAUGUCGUAGUCCGGAUUGGAGUCUGCAACUCGACUCCAUGAAGUCGGAAUCGCUAGUAAUCGUAGAUCAGAAUGCUACGGUGAAUACGUUCCCGGGCCUUGUACACACCGCCCGUCACACCAUGGGAGUGGGUUGCAAAAGAAGUAGGUAGCUUAACCUUCGGGAGGGCGCUUACCACUUUGUGAUUCAUGACUGGGGUGAAGUCGUAACAAGGUAACCGUAGGGGAACCUGCGGUUGGAUCACCU